GACGAACGCUGGCGGCGUGCUUAACACAUGCAAGUCGAACGGAAAGGCCUCUUUCGGGGGGUACUCGAGUGGCGAACGGGUGAGUAACACGUGAGUAACCUGCCCUUGACUUUGGGAUAACUUCAGGAAACUGGGGCUAAUACCGGAUAGGAGCUCCUGCUGCAUGGUGGGGGUUGGAAAGUUUCGGCGGUUGGGGAUGGACUCGCGGCUUAUCAGCUUGUUGGUGGGGUAGUGGCUUACCAAGGCUUUGACGGGUAGCCGGCCUGAGAGGGUGACCGGCCACAUUGGGACCGAGGUACGGCCCAGACUCCUACGGGAGGCAGCAGUGGGGAAGAUUGCACAAUGGGUGGAAGCCUGAUGCAGCAACGCCGUGUGCGGGAUGACGGCCUUCGGGUUGUAAACCGCUUUCGCUCAUGACGAAGCUUUGUGUGACGGUAGUGGGUAAAGAAGCACCGGCUAACUACGUG
rnacentral:rRNA from 1 species